CCAGCUGCCACUAGUCUGGGCAAGUUGGAGACGCCCUCCCUGAGCCACUUGUCUGGUCUUUCUGCUCCUUCCUCCUCACCCAUGCGGAGGCCAUUGGGUGCUGUUCCAUCCUUUACCUGAGGCCCUCUUGGCUGUCUGUCAGAACCUGCCUCACAUGCCACCUGUCCUGGGAGCACCAUCCCUGACCCUAAUGUAUGAUUUCUAGACCGCUCUCAACUGUCCCUUACUGAGUGAGUGCCUGCUCUGGGGACUUUGAGAGAACCCAUCAGAAGCAAAGACAGCAUCCUUUCAGACUGGCUGCUGAACCAUCUUCUACAGCUGGGAGACUGAAAAAGAAUGAUGAAAAGUAUACAUAAGAUAUUCUCUUCUAGUAUCUGGCACAGAUCCUUCUGGGAGAGUUUGGACUUGGUGCUCUAGGUUCUAAUACUAGACACACCCUUUCUAUGAAGACCUAUAUUUGCAAGAUGAUGGUGCCCAUGACUUCCAGUCAUAAAAAUGUCUCCUUUUAUCCCCUCAAAUAAUCUGA